UGGGGAAUAUUGCACAAUGGGGGAAACCCUGACGCAGCAACGCCGCGUGAAGGAUGAAGGUCUUCGGAUCGUAAACUUUUGUCUUUGGGGAAGAAUAAAAUGACGGUACCCGAGGAGGAAGCCACGGCUAACUACGUGCCAGCAGCCGCGGUAAUACGUAGGUGGCAAGCGUUGUCCGGAUUUAUUGGGUUUAAAGGGUGCGUAGGCUGUUAUGUAAGUCAGCGGUGAAAUACCUAAGCUCAACUUAGGGGCUGCCGUUGAUACUGCAUAGCUGGAAUAUGGUUGCUGUUGGCGGAAUGUGUAGUGUAGCGGUGAAAUGCAUAGAUAUUGAGAGGAACACUCGUGGCGAAGGCGGGUUCCUGGACAUUAACUGACGCUGAGGUACGAAGGCCAGGGUAGCGAAAG
rnacentral:rRNA from 1 species